GAUGAACGCUGGCGGCGUGCCUAAUACAUGCAAGUCGAGCGAACAGAUGAGGAGCUUGCUCCUCUGACGUUAGCGGCGGACGGGUGAGUAACACGUGGAUAACCUACCUAUAAGACUGGGAUAACUUCGGGAAACCGGAGCUAAUACCGGAUAAUAUAUUGAACCGCAUGGUUCAAUAGUGAAAGACGGUUUUGCUGUCACUUAUAGAUGGAUCCGCGCCGCAUUAGCUAGUUGGUAAGGUAACGGCUUACCAAGGCAACGAUGCGUAGCCGACCUGAGAGGGUGAUCGGCCACACUGGAACUGAGACACGGUCCAGACUCCUACGGGAGGCAGCAGUAGGGAAUCUUCCGCAAUGGGCGAAAGCCUGACGGAGCAACGCCGCGUGAGUGAUGAAGGUCUUCGGAUCGUAAAACGCUGUUAUUAGGGAAGAACAAAUGUGUAAGUAACUAUGCACGUCUUGACGGUACCUAAUGAGAAAGCCACGGCUAACUACGUG
rnacentral:rRNA from 1 species